GUGGGGAAUUUUGGACAAUGGGCGCAAGCCUGAUCCAGCAAUGCCGCGUGCAGGAAGAAGGCCUUCGGGUUGUAAACUUCUUUUAAGAGGGACGAAAGAAAUGACGGUACCUCUUGAAUAAGCCACGGCUAACUACGUGCCAGCAGCCGCGGUAAUACGUAGGUGGCGAGCGUUAUCCGGAUUUACUGGGUGUAAAGGGCGUGUAGGCGGGAGUGCAAGUCAGAUGUGAAAAUUAUGGGCUCAACCCAUAACCUGCAUUUGAAACUGUUCUUCUUGAGUGAUGGAGAGGCAGGCGGAAUUCCGUGUGUAGCGGUGAAAUGCGUAGAUAUACGGAGGAACACCAGUGGCGAAGGCGGCCUGCUGGACAUUAACUGACGCUGAGGCGCGAAAGCGUGGGGAGCAAACAGGAUUAGAUACCCUAGUAGUCC
rnacentral:rRNA from 1 species